AAGGAAAACUCUCCUUUUUCAUUUUUAAUGCUUUUAAUUCUGCCAGGAUAAUCAGUGGUCAAGUGGUUAGAGUACAGGGUGCAAGUAAACACACUGUGUGCAAUGCUGGAAAGCUUUUCCUCAAUAGUUUUAUACAGUCUGUAACAGACACAAUUCAAUUGACAUUUGAACGUCCUGCAACCACAACUAGUGCUCACUCCAGUGCAUACUCCCUCUUGUGGUGUAACUGAGUAACCACACUUUUAGAAAUACAGUUUAUAACCAUUGGAAAAUACAUUUAAAUCUGGCCUUUUUUAUAAGAACUGUAUCAAAUAGCAAUUCCAGUUUUCCAAUUGUGACCAUGCAUGCCAGUUUAACACACACAUAUAGGGUUUAGGUAUGUAAAAAUGUUCCACAGUUUCCAUACAUUAAGUUAUUAUCAGUGUGUUCUAGUGGUGCAUGUCCAAACACCUUGUGAGAACUGAGAACUACAGGGUUGGCAACUUGAUAAUGAUUAUUAUGUAUAAAUCCUAUUUAAGUAUUGAAUCAUCUUUCUAACUCAAACUCUUCUGUACAUUAUGUGUAUGUGCAUGUGUAUGUCUGUCUACUUUUCAGGGUAUGACAUUCUUUGAGGUCACAGGCGUGUUGAGGUGAGUUCCCAUCUGCCUUCUAUGAAGACCUCUCCUUACAACCUACUGGAUUACAAGAGACCCUCCAGGACUUAAGGGCCAUGUCCAAACCCAUGGUGAAGAUAGUUGGGGUGGCCUGAACUGUAUGUGCUUCCCUUGUCCCGACCAGACAUUUCAGCAUUGCUGUGAGAUGGUUGUAUUUCUUUGUGUAACAUUUGGACAUAAAGACCAGUAACCCUCAAUAAAUCUUCAAAGAAC